GGGGGUUUAGCUCAACGGUAGAGCACUUGCCUAGCAAGCGCAAGGCCCUGGGUUCAGUCCCCAGCUCCG
rnacentral:tRNA from 1 species